UACGUAGGGUGCGAGCGUUGUCCGCAAUUAUUGGGCGUAAAGAGCUCGUAGGCGGUGUGUCACGUCGGCCGUGAAAACCUGCAGCUUAACUGUGGGCGUGCGGUCGAUACGGGCAUCACUGGAGUUCGGCAGGGGAGACUGGAAUUCCUGGUGUAGCGGUGAAAUGCGCAGAUAUCAGGAGGAACACCGGUGGCGAAGGCGGGUCUCUGGGCCGAUACUGACGCUGAGGAGCGAAAGCGUUGGGAGCAAACAGG
rnacentral:rRNA from 1 species